rnacentral:misc_RNA from 1 species
GCGGACUACCAGGGUAUCUAAUCCCUUUCGCUCCCCUAGCUUUCGUCCAUGAGUGUCAGAAUCAGCCCAGUCACGCGCUUUCGCCGCUGGUGUUCUUCCCAAUAUCUACGCGUUUCACCGCUACACUGGGAAUUCCCGUGACCCCUACUGACCUCUAGUCAUACAGUUUCCACCGCCGGUAUGGAGUUAAGCUCCACGCUUUGACGGCAGACUUGUAUAACCACCUGCGGACGCUUUACGCCCAAUAAUUCCGGAUAACGCUUGCAUCCCUCGUAUUACCGCGGCGGCUGACAC